rnacentral:rRNA from 1 species
AAUUCGUAACGGAGUUUUCUCUUCGGAGCAGGAGUGACAGGUGGUGCAUGGUUGUCGUCAGCUCGUGUCGUGAGAUGUUGGGUUAAGUCCCGCAACGAGCGCAACCCUUAUCUUUAGUAGCCAGCAGUUCGGCUGGGCACUCUAGAGAGACUGCCAGGGAUAACCUGGAGGAAGGCGGGGAUGACGUCAAAUCAUCAUGCCCCUUAUGACUUGGGCUACACACGUGCUACAAUGGCGUAAACAAAGGGAAGCAAAGCUGUGAGGCCGAGCAAAUCUCAAAAAUAACGUCUCAGUUCGGACUGUAGUCUGCAACCCGACUACACGAAGCUGGAAUCGCUAGUAAUCGCAGAUCAGAAUGCUGCGGUGAAUACGUUCCCGGGUCUUGUACACACCGA